UAACACCAGCGCCACAAGUGGCAACCGUAGUUAUUGGGCCUAAAGCGUCCGUAGCCGGUUCUGUAAAUCUUCUGUGAAAUCGUCAAGCUCAACUUGACGGAGUGCAGAAGAGACUACAGGACUUGGGACCGGAAGGAGUCAGAAGUAUUUCUGGGGGAGCGGUAAAAUGUUAUAAUCCCAGAAGGACUACCUGUGGCGAAGGCGUCUGACUAGUACGGAUUCGACGGUGAGGGACGAAAGCUAGGGGAGCAAUCCGGAUUAGAUACCCGAGUAGUCCUAGCUGUAAACGCUGCGAGCAAGGUGUCACACAUUUUUCGUGAAUGUGUUGUGUCGAAACGAAGGUGAUAAGCUCGCCGCCUGGGGAGUAUGGUCGCAAGACUG
rnacentral:rRNA from 1 species